UACGGGGGGGGCAAGCGUUGUUCGGAAUUACUGGGCGUAAAGGGCGCGUAGGCGGCCAUCUAAGUCAGACGUGAAAUCCCUCGGCUCAACCGAGGAACUGCGUCUGAUACUGGAAGGCUUGAAUCCGGGAGAGGGAUGUGGAAUUCCAGGUGUAGCGGUGAAAUGCGUAGAUAUCUGGAGGAACACCGGUGGCGAAGGCGGCAUCCUGGACCGGUAUUGACGCGUGAGGCGCGAAAGCUAGGGGAGCAAACGGG
rnacentral:rRNA from 1 species